UUGGUCUUCGAUCCUCUUGUUCUGGACUAGGAUUCACCUGUGCUUCCCAUAUAUAAUAUUUGUACGUCUGUCUGUGGCGGUUCCUAGAAGGCUUUCUGGGCGGUUACGCGGCCCGAAAUUAACAGGCAAAUGUCUUUGAACCAACACGUGUUCUUUUUUUUUUUUGGGUUUAUGUUUCCUUCUUUGAAUUUGCUUUCUCAGGUUUGGUGACACCGCGGCUGGAAAAAAAAAAAAAAAAACAGAAAGAAAUUGCAGAGGAUUGCUGACAUGGCAGCCUCAUCCAACUAGCCAGGAGAUGAAUGAGACCGACUGCAUAUGAAAAGUAUGCACAUUGGAUUACCCAUUAUUAUUUGUUAAUAUAUACCUACCAGUUCUAUUCAAAGUAGGCGAGAAUGGUGGUUAUGCACAUGUAUAUAAUUGGUGUGAGUCAUGACCCAGUCAUUGAUCAGAUGAUUAAUGCGGUUGGGACCAGGGCAUUUCCCUCUUCUCUGGCAGCUGAAAACAGCCCAAACCUUCUCCUAAGUCAAUUUUACCAAGGUUUAGCAAGGGUUUAAGUGCUUUCUUAACCAAAAGUUUGUUUUGUCAUUAACAAUUGACGAAGAAUA
rnacentral:lncRNA from 1 species